ensembl:lncRNA
GAUCACAGCUGAAUUUGUGGACAAUAAUAAAAUGUUGAUAGGAUGAAACUGCAUUUAAUGACAGACAGGUGCAACAAAUGAAGACCUGCAUGAGUCAUUGGAUGAAAUGAGACUCAUGGCCUAGAAUAAUAAAGUGGCUUUAGACAUGAUGUUAGCUGGAAACGGUAACUUCUGCAAAAUGUUUGGAUCUGUUUGUUGUGCGAUCAUCUCCAACAACACAGCUCCUGGUGGCUUGGUGACCAGAGCACAAGCCCCACUGACAGCUCGAACCAGCAGCUGACAGACAACUAAGGCGACGACAAUCCUCUCACCAACGGUCAUGAUCUAGUCCACUACGGAUGAAGCUGCAUCUCCUGCAUCCUUGGAUUCCUGCAGGGAUUGAUCGAUAUUGUGUUUAGUGAGACUAGUAUACAGGGAAAUCGGUAGCGAGUAGAUGAUGAGGGACAAUCACUGUUGACGGAUGUGACUGUAUGAUAAUUUUUCUGUCUUUGAGGGAUGCUCACAGUGAACUGUGAGCAAGGAGGGAAUUGUUAGGGAUUUAAGCCAGAAGUGCACCCCUAGUCAGGAAAUUAUAGUACGUGUAAUAAUGUUUAGUGUUAGAAUUAUAGUUUGUGUGAUGUUAGAUAUUAGUUAUUACAUUAACAUGUUAGAUGAAGUGAAUGCAAUUUCAAUCAAACACAAUUCAUAGUCAUUUAAAUCAUAUAAACACUGCACACAUGAACAUUCUGUUACAAUGUGAUGUUAAAACCUGGGGACGGAUGCCAAUUGCCGUUCUUUAUGGAUUUCUCCCAAUUUUAUCCCCAAGGAGGGUUUUUUGGGAGUUUUUUCUCCUGUCAGGUAAUAAAAUGAACAACUUAUUGCGAGGCAGCCAACUGAGGCAAAUGUCUUGAGAAUGGAACCACAUGAACUGUCUUAGAUCUUAUGAUGAAGUGUGAUGAACGGUGAUCGUUAAUGAUGGGUUGUUGUAAUGAAAGUGUACUAGUUAUAAGAUGAAGACUUAAACGAUGUAUGCUUUGUUAAAUUCACUCAUUGAGGCAUAAAGCCGAAUGUAUCUACAUUGAGUGCAUUGGAAUGUGAGGGACAGAUAGGACAGAGAGGUUUCAGGUUACAGCUGCAGCUUCACACCUCGACGUGGAAGGGACAAUGGAGGAGGUGACCCUUUGGAGAAGAGGCCAAUGACAUUCAAAUGCACCAAAGAAGACACACCUCAAGAGGUUUCAAAGGACCAUGGCGGGGAAAAGACUGUUAGAACUUCUCCUG